AUGAACGCUGGCGGCGUGCUUAACACAUGCAAGUCGAACGAAGCACUUUAUUUGAUUUCCUUCGGGACUGAUUAUUUUGUGACUGAGUGGCGGACGGGUGGGUAACGCGUGGGUAACCUGCCUUGUACAGGGGGAUAACAGUUGGAAACGGCUGCUAAUACCGCAUAAGCGCACAGCAUCGCAUGAUGCAGUGUGAAAAACUCCGGUGGUAUAAGAUGGACCCGCGUUGGAUUAGCUAGUUGGUGAGGUAACGGCCCACCAAGGCGACGAUCCAUAGCCGACCUGAGAGGGUGACCGGCCACAUUGGGACUGAGACACGGCCCAAACUCCUACGGGAGGCAGCAGUGGGGAAUAUUGCACAAUGGGCGAAAGCCUGAUGCAGCGACGCCGCGUGAGCGAAGAAGUAUUUCGGUAUGUAAAGCUCUAUCAGCAGGGAAGAUAAUGGCGGUACCUGACUAAGAAGCACCGGCUAAAUACGUG
rnacentral:rRNA from 1 species